rnacentral:rRNA from 1 species
AUUGAACGCUGGCGGCAGGCCUAACACAUGCAAGUCGAACGGUAGCACAGAGAGCUUGCUCUCGGGUGACGAGUGGCGGACGGGUGAGUAAUGUCUGGGAAACUGCCCGAUGGAGGGGGAUAACUACUGGAAACGGUAGCUAAUACCGCAUAAUGUCGCAAGACCAAAGAGGGGGACCUUCGGGCCUCUUGCCAUCGGAUGUGCCCAGAUGGGAUUAGCUUGUUGGUGAGGUAAUGGCUCACCAAGGCGACGAUCCCUAGCUGGUCUGAGAGGAUGACCAGCCACACUGGAACUGAGACACGGUCCAGACUCCUACGGGAGGCAGCAGUGGGGAAUAUUGCACAAUGGGCGCAAGCCUGAUGCAGCCAUGCCGCGUGUGUGAAGAAGGCCUUCGGGUUGUAAAGCACUUUCAGCGGGGAGGAAGGCAAUGCGGUUAAUAACCGUGUUGAUUGACGUUACCCGCAGAAGAAGCACCGGCUAACUCCGU